GACGAACGCUGGCGGCGUGCUUAACACAUGCAAGUCGAACGGAAAGGCCCUGCUUUUGUGGGGUGCUCGAGUGGCGAACGGGUGCGUAACACGUGAGUAACCUGCCCUUGACUUUCGUAUAACUUCAGGAAACUGGGGCUAAUACCGGAUAGGAGCUCCUGCUGCAUUGUGGGGGUUGGAUAGUUUCGGCUGUUGGGGAUGGACUCGCGGCUUAUCAGCUUGUUGGUGGGGUAGUGGCUUACCAAGGCUUUGACGGGUAGCCGGCCUGAGAGGGUGACCGGCGACAUGGGGACUGAGAGACGGAGCAGAGUCGUACGGGAGGCAGCAGGGGGGAAUAUUGCACAAUGGGAGGAAGUCGGAGGCAGAAACGUCGCGUGCGGGAAGACGGCCUGUGGGGUGUAAAACGCUUUAGCCUGUGACGAAGCGUGAGUGACGGUAAUGGGUAAAGAAGCACCGGCUAACUACGUG
rnacentral:rRNA from 1 species